UACGUAGGGUGCGAGCGUUAAUCGGAAUUACUGGGCGUAAAGCGUGCGCAGGCGGUUCGUUAAGUCAGAUGUGAAAGCCCCGGGCUCAACCUGGGAACUGCAUUUGAAACUGGCGGGCUUGAGUGCGGCAGAGGGGGGUGGAAUUCCACGUGUAGCAGUGAAAUGCGUAGAGAUGUGGAGGAACACCGAUGGCGAAGGCAGCCUCCUGGGCCAGCACUGACGCUCAUGCACGAAAGCGUGGGGAGCAAACAGG
rnacentral:rRNA from 1 species